UCUCCUCUCUCUUAAAAAAUCUAAUAUUUCUUUUAAGUGUAUCUUAGAAGUAUUUUCCCUGAUGUCACCUUUUAACUCCCCUUAUUCUGCUUUUGGCUUUGCUUUCAGGCAUUGGUCUUCAGCCACUGCUGAGAAAUGGCAGAACUGGCAAGAUUGUCCAACUGUGACCUGCCCUCUUGACUUCAAACUGCCUUCCCCGGCUGGUCUUAGUGUUUAUUCUCCCUCACAGAGCUGACUUCUGGCAGACUUUUCUUUUUGAGUUGCUGGUGUUUUGUGGUCAGUAAAUCAGCAUAAUUUUAGCGACAGCAGAAAGGGAGGCAAAGUUGUGCAAUUCUUUUAUUAUUCUUAAUCUCUCCCCCAAGAGAAAUAAAUCUGGAAAAGGAAUAGGGAGGCUCAAUGGGAAGGGCUGGAGAGAAUGGUGUUUCUGAGAAGACAGAAUUAUAGCAACAGCUGUGCUGGGCGAGAGGAGCUCACUGGAGCCCGCCAUGAACUGCUCACCGCUCCUUACUUACAUCUCCCCUCCUUCCCUGCUCUUCUGCACCCACACCCACACUACUUCAGGUGGCUUAUAAAGUUGAAGCAAUCCAUUUGGAGGUCUGGGGCCAUGUUUGAUCAUAUUGCCUCAGAGGAGAGCCCAUUGACAUAGAGCCAGACUACCUGGGCAGACUGAGAGCUUCCUGGCAUGUGUUUGGGUGAAGAAUUAGUGAUGUGUAGCUCUUCAAAAUUGAUUCACUAAUUCAAAUGUCAAAUAAGCCAGGGUACACACCCUGGCUCAGAUACAAACUUGCCAAGGUUUCCUUUGGACCUAUGGCUCCUUCAGAACGGCAUCAUCUUGUGGUAAGCAUUCCUUCCUUGUAAGCAGGCAUCUGGUACAAUAACACCAACUGUAAAGUCGACCCCACAUACUACAGUUCCAGAGCUGCCUCAAGUGCUUUACAAAGAGCAAUGUGCUAAACACUCCCAAUAAGCCCAAGAAAUGUGCUCAUCACAGGAAGGUGAGAACAAGCUGAGGAAGGGUUGGUGUCCCAUUCUCAACACUAAAUAUUUGGAGAGCUGGGAUUCCUACUGGCAUUGCAUUGCUGGACUCUACAGUCUAGGCCUUUGUCUUCCCCAACUCAUCAGUGUGUAGCAGAAAGUAAUAAGCAAGCUAACACACACAAGGAAAGCCUGAGUCGGUUAAUGUAGUGGAUAUCUUAAAAGUAGAAUCAGAAAAAUGUUUUACUAUAAUCAGGCAUUGUGUUUUGUACCUUUCCCACCUGAAUCAGAAAUGCACACAUAAUGUUGGGGUGCUAAGAGGCCUUAAGCAGGGAAUUCAAACCAUGAUUUCACUCUGUGUCCAGGACUCUGUCUACUCUGCUGGCUGUCUUUUCCACAGUCCUUUUUGAAGAGGAUGACCUGGAAGCUCUACACCCUUUGGUCUUCCCAUGGUGGACCAGAAACUAUUUGGGGUUCUCAGAGUUCACUGACCAAACCCUCAUUGUAAUGUGCCUUGGCUAACAAAGGAUUAAGACAGACAGAGGCCCUGGGUUCCCAUGGGGCCCACAGUGGUAUCCAUUAGCCCUCAUGUGGUCUUGUCUAAGCCCCUCCCAAAAGCUUGUCUCAAAU
rnacentral:lncRNA from 1 species